UACGUAGGGAGCAAGCGUUGUCCGGAAUCAUUGGGCGUAAAGCGCGCGUAGGUGGCUUCGUAAGUCCGUUGUGAAAGUCAAAGGCUCAACCUUUGAAAGCCGAUGGAUACUGCGGAGCUAGAGUACGGAAGAGGCGAGUGGAAUUCCUGGUGUAGCGGUGGAAUGCGCAGAUAUCAGGAGGAACACCGGUGGCGAAGGCGGUUCUCUGGGCAUUACCUGACGCUGAGGAGCGAAAGUGUGGGAAGCGAACAGG
rnacentral:rRNA from 1 species